GCUCUACCAUCAACUACCAUAGGCAUUAGAAAACAUUCUUCAUCUCAACAUGAUUAGCAUCAAUUUAUCCACUUUAAAAACCAAUUAGGUGGUAAAGUUUAACAGACAUACCUCCCCAGUGUCCAUCCUCAACCAGGUAAGAAAUUGCCAAACCUCCCAGCAUCACUGAGCUUCAAUGGCACAACCCAAUAACUCCACAUUCUUUUCUUUCUCUCUUUCACCUCUUGAAGAACCAUUCAUAAUUUGGAUCAGAGCCCAGCAACUCACCAGCUCUGUGAUUUGUGAUGCAAAACUCACAUUUAUCAAAUUCAAUCAAACCGAGCCACUUGCUCCUCUCUGGCAUUGAUACUAAACAUACCAACUUCUUAACCAUUUUCUCACUCACCAUCCCUUCCCCAGCUGCAAUUCUUGCCUCACUGAAUGGCCUCCAACACUUGUCCUUGGCGAACCCAAUGCACUUCUCCUUCGCUGCAGCCAAACAGCCUUCCAUUUCGCGUUCCUCGCACAUCUCUCUCUCCUUCAAAUCAGGCAAUUUCCCUCCAAUCAAACUGCGCCACCACGGGGGUUUACACUUGUCGGAUGCGGCUAUGGCACACCCAAUCCUGGCGCCGCCCUCGCACUGCUCGAUAAUUUUAGACUCGCAGAUCUUGUAGGCGGCGGCCCAGGAUCGUGGAUUUCUGAAAGCGAGAAGGUAAGGGCCGGAUGAAGGGUCGUCGGAUGGUCCGGCUGGUACCGGACCCCUAAGGAGAGGAGUUGGAUAGUCGAAUUUGACUGUGGUUGAAGAUGGGGAGUAGUCAUCGAGGUUUUGAGGAAAGGAAGGGUCCAUGUUUCGCGUUAUUCCAGAUUUAGCCUUCCUAAAGGAAACGCAGAAUGAGAUGAAAUUAAUUGAAGUUGAUGGGAAGUAAAUUGAAUGAUUUGUGAGAGAGAGGUGAGCGGAAGAAGGCGAAGGUGCUCUUCUCCGUCUGCUUCUCCCGUG
rnacentral:misc_RNA from 1 species